UUAGAAAAACUAGGUUAGUGGUGCACUGGUCAUGACGGAGGGAGAAAGUAGGUCACAGACAGAGUAACGUUACCGUUUUAUAUCACAGUUCACGUAACAUUAGACAGAGGGGUCCAUUAGAUGGAGAUGUCCUAGCUAGUUCAUGUCAUGUAGAGCACCUAUCCCAGUGUCCCAGAGGAGGAAUAGCAGCCAGGCCAACCAACGAGGAGGUGUUUCUCUCUCUUCAUCGCAAACCAAGAGCAGAGCAAAUGGAUGGAAGGAAAUUCCAGAAGCUGUAAUGAACAUUUGUGAUUAUCUAAUGGCAGACCAAAGAAUGGACAUUACCUCUACGAUGAAUGAGUUCAUGUCCCCCAGCUCCACCGAGCUGAUCAGCAGCUCCAUCAACACCCAAGGCAUGGACUACACCCGCAAGAGGAAGGGCAGCACCUCCGACUACCAAAUUGAUGGAUUUUCUUUUGACGAGAGCAGUAUGGAUACAGACAAGGAUAAGCUUAGGGAUUGUGGUGAUCAUCAGGGGCGGAUCAAAAAUGCCAGGGAGGCACACAGUCAGAUUGAGAAGAGGCGCAGAGACAAGAUGAACAGCUUUAUAGACGAGCUGGCGGCGUUAGUGCCUACUUGCAAUGCUAUGUCCCGCAAGCUGGACAAACUCACAGUUCUACGCAUGGCUGUUCAGCAUAUGAAGACAUUACGAGGCGCAGCGAACCCAUACACAGAGGCGAACUACAAGCCGUCUUUCCUGUCCGAUGAUGAAUUGAAGCACUUAAUAUUGAGGGCUGCUGAUGGCUUUCUGUUUGUUGUCGGAUGCGAUCGUGGGAAGAUCCUCUUCGUCUCUGAGUCUGUUUACAAGAUCCUCAACUAUAGCCAGAACGACCUAAUUGGCCAGAGUCUGUUUGAUUACCUGCAUCCUAAAGACAUCGCCAAAGUCAAGGAGCAACUGUCGUCAUCGGAUACAGCACCCCGGGAGCGACUCAUCGACGCCAAAACUGGCCUGCCAGUGAAGACUGACAUUACCCUUGGGCCGUCUAGACUGUGCUCCGGAGCCAGACGUUCGUUCUUCUGCCGGAUGAAAUGUAACCGGCCCUACGUCAAAACGGAGGACAAGGACUUCCCCUCCACCUGCUCAAAAAAGAAAGCCGACCGCAAGAGCUUCUGCACGAUCCACAGUACUGGCUACCUGAAGAGCUGGCCGCCCACCAAGAUGGGUUUGGACGAUGACAACGAGCCCGACAACGAGGGCUGUAACCUCAGCUGCCUGGUAGCCAUUGGCCGGCUGCACCCCCACAUCAUCCCCCCAGCCCUCCCAUGAGGACAUACGCGUCAAACCCACCGAAUACGUCUCCCGCCACGCCAUCGACGGGAAGUUCGUCUUUGUUGACCAGAGGGCCACAGCCAUUCUUGCGUACUUACCCCAGGAGCUUCUAGGCACCUCCUUCUAUGAGUAUUUUCAUCAGGAUGAUAUUGGCCACCUGGCAGAAUGUCACAGACAAGUGCUGCAAAUGAGAGAAAAGAUCAACACAAACUGUUACAAGUUCAAGAUUAAAGAUGGCUCCUUCAUCAUGCUGAGAAGCUGCUGGUUUAGUUUCAUGAAUCCCUGGACCAAAGAGGUGGAGUACAUUGUCUCCACAAACACAGUGGUCUCAUGCAGUAUGCUAGAUGCUGCAGACCCCUAUCCUCAGUCUGCUGCUUCCCCCACAGCCUCUAUGGACAGUGUGCUGACGUCAGAAGGUGGAGGGAGACGGGCUAUUCAGACGGUGCCAGGCAUCCCUGGCGGAACACGGGCAGGUGCCGGCAAGAUCGGCCGUAUGAUCGCAGAGGAGGUGAUGGAGAUUCAGAGGACCAGAGGCUCAACACCCUCUAGCUGUGGCUCCAGCCCCCUGAACAUCAGCACCCCCCCUCCAGACUGCUCUCCAGGGAGCAAGAGGAUUCAAAAUGGUGGGACACCAGACCUUCCGUCGGCAGGAACGCUACCAGGAGGACCUGACUCCAUUGGAUACCCAUACUCCAACCAGUCCAUUAUGAGUGACAACUCUCAUCUCAGCAUUGACAUCAUGGACGAGCCAGGCUCCAGCAGCCCCAGUAACGAUGAGGCAGCCAUGGCUGUGAUCAUGAGUCUCCUGGAGGCUGACGCAGGCCUUGGGGGCCCCGUGGACUUUAGUGACUUACCCUGGCCCUUAUGAUGACGGCCCAAGAGGAACGAGGCAUAGCAGGACUGUUGGAACUCUUGGGCUAAGUCCCACAGAACUAUGUCAAAACCCUGAAUUGAUGAUGCAGUGGCAUCAUCAGGAACCAUGGCACUGUGCGACUUAUUGGAGCCGAGACCUCCAUGUUGGGACUGAGACAGGUCAUUUCAAAGUAUACCUGUAUGUGCCCUCCCUAGCUUGCUGCUGGACAUUCUUCACCACAGGAUAAUUUAGCAUUUUUCAAUAGCUAUUUUCCUGCAUUCUCCUACCAGGGAUUUCUAUUGAAACCUGUUUGUGUUUGGAUGUUUUUACACUACAGUACACAUUGGUUUUCCUUACUGGAAAACCCCAUUUGAAAAUGUUAACACAUCUUUAAAUAGUAUAAUGUAAAAAAUACUUUAUGCAAAAUAUAUGGUGUGUGUAUUGUAUCAGCAGUUAAAUAUUUUUUAUUAAAAGUUUGUUUUGUAUCUCUUUCCAGAAGACUUUGAGCUAUAAACAGAAUUUGAUGCAGUAUGUUAUUGACGCUAAUGAAUAAAUUGUAUCCAUAUUUA